rnacentral:rRNA from 1 species
UGGGGAAUCUUGCGCAAUGGGCGAAAGCCUGACGCAGCCAUGCCGCGUGAAUGAUGAAGGUCUUAGGAUUGUAAAAUUCUUUCACCGGGGACGAUAAUGACGGUACCCGGAGAAGAAGCCCCGGCUAACUUCGUGCCAGCAGCCGCGGUAAUACGAAGGGGGCUAGCGUUGCUCGGAAUUACUGGGCGUAAAGGGAGCGUAGGCGGACAUUUAAGUCAGGGGUGAAAUCCCAGAGCUCAACUCUGGAACUGCCUUUGAUACUGGGUGUCUUGAGUGUGAUAGAGGUAAGUGGAACUCCGAGUGUAGAGGUGAAAUUCGUAGAUAUUCGGAAGAACACCAGUGGCGAAGGCGACUUACUGGAUCAUUACUGACGCUGAGGCUCGAAAGCGUGGGGAGCAAACAGG